GCCGUUAGUCGUCGUUCAGCAUGUGAGCAUUUUGCUAGAUAUACACAUUAUACAAAAAAGAGCAUAUUUAUGUGCAUGUAUAAAUUGCACAGUAUGCAACCAAAAAUAUACAUAUAUGUUUUACAUGUAUGUGUUUCUAUAUGCCGUUUGACAUGGGAGAUGAGGGAUGCUAUACAUAGUUCUGUUAUUUUCUAUCAUGUAUGUGUGUUAGAGUGUCUGUGUUAAUAUACUUUUUAAUGCAUGCUCUACAUAAUAUACAGUAGUAAUAACACAGAGAAUACGUAUGGAAUGCGUAUCUCUCUAUAUAUAUUUAUGUAUAUAUGCUAUGUGUAUAUCAACCUCGCAUAUUUUCUCCCUGUGGACCACGGCUCCCCCAACGUGUCUCGAUGGAUGACAUGUCUUCCUAUUUCUUUGAAAAAAACACCAAAGUGCGAUAAGUGGGAUCAAUUGUGCAAUCAUUUCUUUGCCCAAUCUUUGAACGCAAACGGCGCAUGGGAGAAACUCUCUCUAGCCAUCCCCGUGCAUGCCACAUUUCUCACUGUCGAAUAUAUAAACAAAACACACACCUAUUUUGUGUUGUUCAACGCACGCAAAAAAUCUCGCCACCUCUCCUCCCCUGUGGUGGAUAUUCAUGGUUGUGAGUGUGCACAUAUACCAUAUCUUUUUACUCUUUCUACUCGCACCAUGGUGUAGAUACGCAUAUACUUGUGUGUAGUGAGUGAUAUGGAAGAAGAAAUGGGAAAGCGUAUGAUAUAUGUAUAUACACAUAUAUAUGUGUGUGGAGUGUGUGGUGAGCACAUAUUAAGAGAAAAGUUGUGUGGAUAUACAGAGAAGCUGCUGCGGUGGUGACAUGUGGAUAAUAUAUAUAUGAUAUGUGUGUGUGCGCUGUGAGAUAUAUAUCUACGAGAGUGUCAUAUAAUAUGUUGUAGCAUGUAUUUGCGCCCCGCAUAGAGAUAAAGAGAGAAUGUAUGCUAAAGCGCGGAUGUGGUAUGUUGAUCACGCAGCACAUAUUGUCGCAUGAGAUAGCAGAUUGCACAUGCUGCCUUCUGACCUCCAUUAUGAUUCACUGAUGCGAACCCGUACUGCAUUCCGCGGAAACAUACUUGGGCGUUUAU
rnacentral:misc_RNA from 1 species